CCUACGGGAGGCAGCAGUGAGGAAUAUUGGUCAAUGGGCGUAAGCCUGAACCAGCCAAGUCGCGUGAGGGAUGAAGGUUCUAUGGAUCGUAAACCUCUUUUAUAUGGGAAUAAAGUGCAGUAUGUAUACUGCUUUGCAUGUACCUUAUGAAUAAGGAUCGGCUAACUCCGUGCCAGCAGCCGCGGUAAUACGGAGGAUUCGAGCGUUAUCCGGAUUUAUUGGGUUUAAAGGGAGCGUAGGCGGGUUGUUAAGUCAGUUGUGAAAGUUUGCGGCUCAACCGUAAAAUUGCAGUUGAUACUGGCAGCCUUGAGUACAGUAGAGGUAGGCGGAAUUCGUGGUGUAGCGGUGAAAUGCUUAGAUAUCACGAAGAACUCCGAUUGCGAAGGCAGCCUGCUGGACUGUAACUGACGCUGAUGCUCGAAAGUGUGGGUAUCAAACAGGAUUAGAUACCCGGGUAGUC
rnacentral:rRNA from 1 species